rnacentral:rRNA from 1 species
UACGGGGGGGGCAAGCGUUGUUCGGAAUUACUGGGCGUAAGGGGCUCGUAGGUGGCCAACUAAGUCAGACGUGAAAUCCCUCGGCUUAACCGGGGAACUGCGUCUGAUACUGGAUGGCUUGAGUUUGGGAGAGGGAUGCGGAAUUCCAGGUGUAGCGGUGAAAUGCGCAGAUAUCAGGAGGAACACCGGUGGCGAAGGCGGUUCUCUGGGCAUUACCUGACGCUGAGGAGCGAAAGCAUGGGGAGCGAACAGG